AAUUCAUGUAUCAGAAAUGCACUUUGGUUUCCUCAUGGUACCCUGACCACUUGACUCUUUGGGGCUGGGAACAGAAGUUCAAUUCCAGCCCUCUGGAGCAGAGCAAACUUCCCAGAUGUGUGUCAUGUUGCACCUUCCCCAGCCAAAUACUUCCCCAACUUGUAGAAACUGCUUCUGCACAUGAGCCAGAAGACAAAAUUGCUGAAGGCUGAAAAAUUGCAGUUCCAGAGGAGUUUCAAGAAAAUAUUGGCUGUAAUUGGUACUGAUGCAGGUCUGGAAUCUGGAGCUCAUCCCUUGCCAUGAAUGAUUGCUGGAUGCAGUGGUAAAGUCCACCAGAGGAGAUGUCUGGAG